rnacentral:tRNA from 1 species
GGGGCCGUAGGGUAGCCUGGCCAUCCUUUCUGGUUUGGGACCAGAAGACCCCAGUUCGAAUCUGGGCAGCCCCA